rnacentral:rRNA from 1 species
GUGGCGGACGGGUGAGUAACACGUGGGUAACCUGCCCUUAAGUGGGGGAUAACAUUUGGAAACAGAUGCUAAUACCGCAUAGAUCCAAGAACCGCAUGGUUCUUGGCUGAAAGAUGGCGUAAGCUAUCGCUUUUGGAUGGACCCGCGGCGUAUUAGCUAGUUGGUGAGGUAAUGGCUCACCAAGGCGAUGAUACGUAGCCGAACUGAGAGGUUGAUCGGCCACAUUGGGACUGAGACACGGCCCAAACUCCUACGGGAGGCAGCAGUAGGGAAUCUUCCACAAUGGACGCAAGUCUGAUGGAGCAACGCCGCGUGAGUGAAGAAGGCUUUCGGGUCGUAAAACUCUGUUGUUGGAGAAGAAUGGUCGGCAGAGUAACUGUUGUCGGCGUGACGGUAUCCAACCAGAAAGCCACGGCUAACUACGUGCCAGCAGCCGCGGUAAUACGUAGGUGGCAAGCGUUAUCCGGAUUUAUUGGGCGUAAAGCGAGCGCAGGCGGUUUUUUAAGUCUGAUGUGAAAGCCCUCGGCUUAACCGAGGAAGCGCAUCGGAAACUGGGAAACUUGAGUGCAGAAGAGGACAGUGGAACUCCAUGUGUAGCGGUGAAAUGCGUAGAUAUAUGGAAGAACACCAGUGGCGAAGGCGGCUGUCUGGUCUGUAACUGAC